CCUACGGGUGGCUGCAGUGGGGAAUAUUGGGCAAUGGGCGCAAGCCUGACCCAGCAACGCCGCGUGAAGGAAGAAGGCUCUCGGGUUGUAAACUUCUUUUCUUAGGGACGAAGCAAGUGACGGUACCUGAGGAAUAAGUCACGGCUAACUACGUGCCAGCAGCCACGGUAAUACGGAGGUGGCAAGCGUAAUCCGGAUUUACUGGGUGUAAGGGGCGUGUAGGCGGGACUGCAAGUCAGAUGUGAAAACCACGGGCUCAACCUGUGGCCUGCAUUUGAAACUGUAGUGCUUGAGUACUGGAGAGGCAGACGGAAUGCCUGGUGUAGCGGUGAAAUGCAUAGAUAUUAGGAAGAACCCCAGUGGCGAAGGCGGUCUGCUGGACAGCAACUGACGCUGAGGCGCGAAAGCGUGGGGAGCGAACAGGAUUAGAUACCCCUGUAGUC
rnacentral:rRNA from 1 species